rnacentral:lncRNA from 1 species
UUGACACCGCGUGAACAAAACAUGACUGGAAUAGAGACCUCACUGGGGAGUGAAGGACUCUCACUGGAAAAGAAGAAAUUCCAAAGGAAGACACAUCCAUUGGAAAGACAUAAGCUGACUCAAACUAUCCACAAAGGAUACUUCGGAUAAAAAUCCAGACUCGGACCAAGGAACAGAUUCACAAAGAAUCUCCCUGCCGGGCAGAUUGCAUAUAUUGGGGAAAACGCCAAUACAGCAGAAAGGGUAAAAAUCACCACAAG